GAUGAACGCUGGCGGCGUGCUUAACACAUGCAAGUCGAACGAGAAGUGAAGACGGAAACCUUCGGGCGGAAGGCUUUAUUUCGAGUGGCGGACGGGUGAGUAACGCGUGGGUAACCUGCCUCAUACAGGGGGAUAACAGUUGGAAACGACUGUUAAUACCGCAUAAGACCACAGCACCGCAUGGUGCGGGGGUAAAAACUCCGGUGGUAUGAGAUGGACCCGCGUUCGACUAGCCAGUUGGCGGGGUAACGGCCCACCAAAGCGACGAUCGAUAGCCGAUCUGAGAGGAUGACCGGCCACAUUGGGACUGAGACACGGCCCAAACUCCUACGGGAGGCAGCAGUGGGGAAUAUUGCACAAUGGGGGAAACCCUGAUGCAGCGACGCCGCGUGAGUGAAGAAGUAUUUCGGUAUGUAAAGCUCUAUCAGCAGGGAAGAAAAUGACGGUACCUGAGUAAGAAGCCCCGGCUAACUACGUG
rnacentral:rRNA from 1 species